UAAGAGAAAAAUGCAAUUUUAGACCUUUGAAGAAUGAGAUUAAAUAUCAAAGUUGAAUCUAAUUCUCAGCACUGCUUUGCCAGUGCAUAAGCAGCCAUUGUGUUGCUUAAUUAAUGUUUAUCAUGACCUAAUUGAAUCUAUUGACUGAUGACUCAGCGGCAAAUCCAUCUUUCAUUCAUUCAUUACGUCUUUCAUUACUGCCGAUGUUACAGAAAACAGUCUUUUGAUCUUAAAAAUGUCUGUCAACUUGCUCAGAUGAAAGGCAAACUUUUUUUUUUUCAGGCUGUUGGUCAUGUAGCAUACUCAAGUGGUUUUCUCUCUCCUCCCCUCCCCAACUCAUUGACAGUAAAAAAAAAUAAAUAAAUAAAAUAAAUAAAAACUAACAUAAAAAAGUGAGUCAGAAUGACUCACAGUCCUCCCAGUCUGACUAAACUAAAAUGACUCCUUUCCUGAAAGGCAGGUAAUGGGCAAGGUCUUCAAAGAGAGGUGAGCAACAGGAGGGGGGGGGGGGGGGGGGGGGGUGUUGACUGGAUGCAGGCAGACAUUUGUGAAAAAAAAAAAAAAACUCAAAUGUACCAUGCAUGAAUCAGCAGUCUGCUUCUGAUGAACCACAAUACUCACAAACACACAAACACAUGCAUCCACUACGGAGGUAUAUUGUCAUGUAAGAAUACUUUUAACAUGUUUUGGAAGUUUUGCAACUCCACAACUGAAAGCACCCAUCAUUUAAGCUCCAUUUCUGCUUCAGGCCAGUAUCAGCGCUGACAGUGGGUUACAAAUUAUUUCAUUAGGUAUCUUUGCACCUUUUGUCUAAUAGUCUAUUAAGUCCAUUAGCUAACUGUGUGGGAGAUUAGCCUUUGUGGAUAAUGUGCCAAAUUUGUCAAACGGGAAACUAUCCUGUGUGUCUCCUCAUGAUAUUCACAUAAGGGCUUAUGGGAUAAAAUUAAACGCAUGCCAUUUUUAAGGUUGCUUUCAUUUUGUAUUUAUCUAAAGAAUGACAAAGGAAGUCAGUUGAGACAAAUUAAAUAUGUCUUGGCAUGACUGAUUUCUUGGUCAGUCUUCAUAAUUUACAAGGCGGCUCUAACAUCGAGCACUGCCAGCACCUUGCUUUCCAAUUUGUAACAAACCUAUACAGACUAAAAAAGAUGAGUAGACCUCAGCAUAGGACACAUUUUACAUCUCACACUAAAAAGAAUGCUUAAAUUGCUGAAUAAAUAACUAUCUAUAGCUACCUGCGAGCUCUUCAAAGCUCCAGAUCAUGCAUAUACAUGUCUGCAGGGAUAGAUUUAAAAUGUCUUUGUCAGCUUUUCUUUCUCAGGAGCUUCUGUAGAAAAAAAAAAAAAAAAUGACGCUUUAGAAUGAUCCUGCAAAUGCAAAAACCUGUUUUUCUGAGCAGAAGAGCACUUGAAAAUCCUGUAUCUGCUUCACAGAUUAUCACCUGACUGGAGUGUUUGUAAUAACCCCCAUUUACAAGGAAAAAAAAACAAAACAUUUAUUUGUACACAUUGCAUUAUAUGCAUAAACUCAAUUUCCAGAGGGUUUAGUUUCCAAAGAAGGACGAAGGACUUGAAAAAUCUGUGAAAUAUCUGUGAAUUUUGUACACUAGAUACGAAGAAAAAAAUGACAAGUAAAAAAAAAAAAGAAAAAAAAAUGCUUCUAUGGAUGUUUUAUACUCAGCCUGAUCUUGAUAUGUCUGUGUGUUUCUCGAUUUUGAGUUGGCUCUUUGUCUAUGUUUAUUUUUAUUUUUUAUUCUUCUUUUUAUCAAUUGAUUAUUUGUUUUUGUUUUUUUUUUUUCUUUUUUUUUUUGAGGGGUGGGACUGUAUCAGGAAUUGAGAGACUGACUUUUAGUACUUGCAAUGAUAUAUGUUAUAAAGGUUUAAGAACAGAGAAAGUCUAACUUAGUGUACUACAUAAAAGAAAAGUUGUUAUAUUUGCAUGAUUCCCUGUAUUUUUUGAGAGACAAAAAUAUAUUGUUGUGUACAAUGAGUGGACGUACAAAGAAAACAAAAACUGUAGGGGCUGAAAUACAGUAUUGUCAAGUAUCUUGAUUCAAACUUUUAUGUUUUUUGAUUCUUUGUGACGUUUAAUAUUUACAUUUUUAUAUAUGGGUUUUUGUUUUUGGAGAUUGUAUUAUAUACUGGCACUGCAGUUACCAUUGCUCCUCUCUGAGCUAUUGGCUAUUGGAGUGUGCGGUGCAAAGACGGGCAAAAAUGUCUAAGCUACUUGUUGUUUGUAUGUGUUUUAAGGAACACCAUCUCCAUUACAUAGAUUGCUCUCCAAAGCAGACUUCAUGCUAACCUGUUUAGCUCGAGGCAGGGCUCUAUCACAAUUUAUCCUCAAUUGUCUCAUUAACAGGAAGAAGAUUUUCUGCAUUCUGUGUCAGAUACAGUAUAUAUGGCACUAUACAUUCAAAGAAAAGUGAACUGAUGUAGUCUAAUGAGCUAAACUUUAUUCUAAACCAUCAGUUAGAAGUCACUGAUGACAGUGAUUAUGUUUACAUACACACUGAUAUUCAUUUUUUCCCCAUAAUUCUGAAAAAAAAACCAAUUCCGAGUAAACUGAAAAAAUUAGGUAGUCGCUCUGCCUCUUUUGCUUCAUCCAAAAUCUUCUAUAAAACAGACAGCUUUUCUGUUUUUGCUCCUAUCUAUAAACCUGUUCAUAUCCUCUGUUAUAAUGUUUAACAAUAGGUGUAUUUCUCCUUCAAAUUUGAACUUUUCUUUAUCAGAGAGGAUCUUUGUCUUUACUCCAGCAGCCAUGAGUCACAUAAAUUACAUUCCUUUUCUAAAUGUCCAUAGAAUGUCCCUAUAAAACCAGAAAAAUACAGGCAUAUUCCACAUGUCUGAAUCAGAAAAUGCUCCACUUGGAAAAACGCCUAAUUUAGAAUAACCUAAUGCAAUACAGUCUGUUAAAUAUGGAAUAGUACUGGAAUUUCAGUGUGCAUGUAAACAUACUCACUCUGGAUUUUAAUUUGCUUUCUGCUAAAUCAGUAACAUUAUCAUAUUUGUCCUUUGUCCUCAGAGUCUGCAGGUACUUUAUCAUACUAGAAAGUUAAACUGAUUCACCUUAGGUCCAGUGAGCUAUAAAUCAGUCACUCAUAAUUAGUUUUUUAUGCAGAACACUUUUUUAAAGAAUCCCAAAAUGGGGGCAUGAAUUUGAUGUUAUCAGAAGAGGCCAGCGCAAAAGCUUAAACCACUUAAGACUGAUAGUUGGGAUGGUAAUUCAAAGAUGUUAUUCAAGAGACAAGACAUUUUUAUAAAAAGUAUCAUCACAGAAAUACUUGAUUUCUGGUCAUUUCAAUCACAAUAUUUAAAAUAAAUGAAAUAUAAUUCAGUCCAACUGAUAGAGUAGAGUCGGACUAUUGAGUACUUUUCAUUUGGUGUCCAGCCAAUAAUGUUCUGGUAACACCUACUGUAGCUCCACCGAUACAUUACUUAUUGCAUUAGAGCCAAUGCAGUGACAGUGAGCCAUAAGUCACAGCCAUGUUUGCAUUCUGCAGUGAUAAUACAAGUCUCUGUAACUGUGAUAAAUAUGCCCUAUAUGUGUUGGGGCAGCAUUUGCCAAAAUCUUAAGAGGCCUCCCUGUGUCAAUUACAAAGAGAAAAUGAAAUGCAAUAACCUCUGGGCAAAAUCUCCUCUUCAGCUUGUCAACAUGGCCAUGCUGUAUUAGGCAGCCAGUUUGUACAGUUAGAUUUUAAUUGGGUGAAAUUGCAGUGUAAUCAGAUAGGGCAGUUGUUUAUUGGUACUGGAGGCUAAUCUGGAACUCAGAACUCCCUUUCCCCAGCCCCACACCCACGACUGUGGAACUUGCUAAAAAUGUCAAAAUCUGUGUGAAAGCAGAUGAUCAUUCAGUGUCAGAAGUCCAUGAUUCUGAUCAGUAGUAGUGUUUUAUGUGCUCACAGAUAGUAGCAGAGGUUUGGCCAUUCAUUGCUAUUCCUAACACAUAAUCCGGUGCUGUCGUACUCUCAAAACUCUGAACGAUUGGCCUUGUCACUGCCACAGAUUGAAACCCCAGUAGCUUCUAAAAAAAA